UACGGAGGGUGCAAGCGUUAAUCGGAAUUACUGGGCGUAAAGCGUGCGCAGGCGGUUUGUUAAGUCCGUUGUGAAAGCCCCGAGCUCAACUUGGGAAUUGCAGUGGAUACUGGCAGGCUGGAGUACGGUAGAGGAAGGUGGAAUUCCCGGUGUAGCAGUGAAAUGCGUAGAGAUCGGGAGGAACACCGAUGGCGAAGGCAGCCCCCUGGGAUGAUACUGACGCUCAUGCACGAAAGCGUGGGGAGCAAACAGG
rnacentral:rRNA from 1 species